rnacentral:tRNA from 1 species
GGCCUUAUAGUCAUUAAUGAUAUUGGAUUGCAAAUCUAAGGGAGUAGAAUUUGAGUUUCUUCUAAGGCUU